AUGGGAGCUCGCGAGCGGGCGGGAGGCGGUGCCGCCGGGCGGGCGGGCGGUGGCGUCGGGAGCCGGCGCGGCAGACGGGGAGCCCGGGAGGAGCCGGCGGAGCGAGAGGAGGAGGAGGACGGCGGAGGAGCGCCGCGCCCCCGCCGGCCGCCCGAGCGCAGGCCGAGAGCUCCAGCCGCAGCCGGAGGGUCCGGGCCGCCUCCGCCGGAGCCCGGCGCGGGGAGAGUCCGGGCCGAUGGGCAGCUCCGGGCAGCGGCGGGCGGCGAGGCGGCAGCCCCGGUACGCGCCACCCGGCGCGCACAGGCUGUAGCAGGUCCGGGAGGACGGCGUUGCGAAGCCUCCACCCACCGCCAUCUUCAGCUUGAAACUUCUUUACAAAGAUAGCAUCCCAAAGGCAUCAUUCGUGAAGCCGAACAGUUUUGAAAACAGCAAGGGAAGUUACUCGCUUUUUUCCAGUGAACCCUAUGGGCAGUGGAACUCUAAGGUAAUUGUCAAUUAUGGUGGAAAGUAAUAUUUUCUUUUGGUUAACAUAUUUGGACCCAUUCGAUCCUCUGUACUGGCAUUAGAAAGAUGAUUUCCAUCUAUGCUUAAUGAAAAUGGGUUUUAUUUUCUUUGAAACAUUUAAAGAAAUAAAAGCUUAAAUUCCAAAUAUUCCUAAAAGUCAGGCUCUCCUUUUGGAACGAGCAUUGGAAGGAAAUGGUCAUUUGUAGUACAGACUCUACCUAAACAUAGUCCACCACUCCCUCCCUAUUGAAAGUCAGACAAUUUAUAUGAAAGUCAGGAAUUUGAAAUCCUCUUUUGUUGGGGGGAGCACAAAAGAUGACUUUUGCAGACCCAGAGCAGAGUUUGAGCUGGGUGGAAUGAGAUUAGUGUGCUAGGGGGAACAUCCGGACCUCUGGCCUUCUCUCCUCUGUGGGGAAGGUGACAGCUGAAAGGAGUCAGAAGCCGCCUGGUGCAGCCGUGACAGCCCAGCACAAAGGGUGGCAUGCUUUCUGACCUCCCGCUGCCCUUUGCUAGACCUUCAAUUGUAGUUGGGGCCCAGACUUUGCAUUUUUCUCUUUUAUGGCUUAAUUUAAUUUUAUUUCUAGCCAGUUUAUUAGAGUGAAGGCCUCCUUCGUUGCCCCAAGGCUUUGCGCCUGUUGGACUGGAAAUUAGAUGAGCUGGGGGGUAAGUAUUCUUUGUAUGCAUGAGAGGGUUAGUGACUGGGAGACACUGAGUGUCAGACCUCAGUAGCCAGUUGACCAAUGAGUUCAACUUAGCAAGAUCACUUAUUACUAAGGGAAGGUAGGGUUGAAAGUAGUAAGCAAGGUAGGGCCUAGGAAGGGCAGAGUAAGUGAUCACUAGCAACUAGCCACUAUUGUGUGGCUGUUCCUGUUCCUUAGAAUGGGCACUUUGGUUGUGUUUCUUUUGUGCCCUCUCAACCUUGGCUGGAUAUUGCAAUCACUAGGAGCACUGGAAACAACGAAAAUGAAUGCCUGGGCCCCUGCAGAGCUUCUGGUUUAAUUGGAAUGGGUGCAGCCUGGGUGUGGGUGCUCUAUAUCUUCAGAUGCUGGCACAGUGUAGCCUCAGUGGAGCACCACUGGCCUGCCUGAGACCUGAGAUGUUUGGGGUUUACCUGUAGGCUUUACAGAAAAGUUAAAUGGGGCCAGGCGCAGUGGCUCACGCCUGUAAUCCCAGCACUUUGGGAGGCCAAGGUGGGUAGAUCAUGAGGUCAGGAAAUUGAGACCGUCCUGGCUAACACGGUGAAAACCCGUCUCUACUAAAAUUAUAAAAAAUUAGCCAGGCGUGGGGGCGGGCACCUGUAAUCCCAGCUACUCGGGAGUUUGAGGCAGGAGAAUCGCUUGAACCGGGGAGGUGGAGCUUGCAGUGAGCCAAGAUUGCGCCAUUGCACUCCAGCCUGGGCAACAAGAGCAAAACUUCUUCUCAAAAAAAAAAAAAAAGUUAAAUGGUGUUAGAAUAUUUCAGGGGAGGUUCUGAUUAGAUCUAAGAAUGAGCAUAUUAAAUUUAGGAGACUAGAACUUUUUAUGUUGUUGAACUGGAAAAACUUUGGUGGGAAUAGUGGAGCUUACUGAUUUUUUUUUUUUUUUUCCUAAAAAAACCUUAAAAGGAAUAGCAGCCAGGCGCAGUGGCCCAUGCCUGUAAUCUUAGCACUUUGGGAGGCUGAAGCGGGUAGAUCAUGAGGUCAGAAGUUCAAGAACAGCCUGUCCAGCAAGGUGAAACCCUGUCUUUACUAAAAGUACAAAAAUUAGCCCAGAGUGGUAGUAGGCGCCUGUAAUCCCAGCUAUUCAGGAGGCUGAGGCAGAGAAUUGCUUGAACCCAGGAGGUGCAGGUUGCAGUGAGCUGAGAUUGUGCCACUGCAUUCCAGCCUCAAAAAGACAAGAAAAGAAGAAAAAAGAAUAGCUAGAAGGAGGCCAAGGCUGGGUAAAGGAGCAUUGAACUUGACUCCAGUAAGCACUGCUCCCAAGGUGUUUGUUUUACCCAGAGGGAGAGCGAGGAUGGAAAUCAAAAAAUAAAAAUGAUCUGGCUAUAGCUA
rnacentral:lncRNA from 1 species